CAAAGCUAUCGUAUCAUUCUGUUACUUAUUAUUCUAUUUCUUUAUUUUUUAGUUCCACUUUUGAGGAUUUUGUCAAGUACAUGAAUUGGAGCAGCAUGUAUGAAGAUGAAAGUAAAAGUGGUCCCGGACCAAGCGGACCGGUUCAUGAAGGGGCCAAUGAAAUUGUGGAGGAAAGUAACCAGGAGCAUGUUUCUUCAUGCAUGGAAGUGACUUCCACCCAGCCAAAAGAAAAUUAAAUGUACUUUUUAAAGGC